GGGCGGAUAGCUCAGUUGGUUAGAGCGGGUGCCUUACAAGCACUAGGCCGGGGGUUCGAGUCCCUCUCUGCCCA
rnacentral:tRNA from 1 species